rnacentral:rRNA from 1 species
UACGUAGGGUGCAAGCGUUGUCCGGAAUUAUUGGGCGUAAAGAGCUCGUAGGCGGUCCGUCGCGUCGGCUGUGAAAUCCCGGAGCUCAACUCCGGGUCUGCAGUCGAUACGGGCGGACUCGAGUUCGGCAGGGGAGACUGGAAUUCCGUGGUGUAGCGGUAGCGAAAUGCGCAGAUAUCAGGAGGAAUACCGGUGGCGAAGGCGGCAUCCUGGACCGACAUUGACGCUGAACGGCGAAAGCUAGGGGAGCAAACGGG